rnacentral:lncRNA from 1 species
AUUCCUUUCUUCUUCCUCCUUAAGGUCUAAACGUUUAUUGAACGGAGGCUCAAAACCGAGUUACUGAACUAGGCUUUCAGUAGUAGACACGUGUCAUGUUUAAGAUUUAUUUUAUUCAUUUCCAUCCAUUGUGCCAAAGGACCUGCUCCAGGAAAAUGCUCCCCUGUUGAUAGGUGCGGGAGAGUAAAAGGGAGACGAUGAAGCUAAAUUAAAACUGAAGUCCUUUGUGCUCAGGGAAUAUGACCUUAGAGUGGGAGAGGGGCGGGGAGUGAGUAGAAAAGUCGGCGAAGCAAAAAUAAGGAAGGUUGGGGCCCUGUAACCUAGCAUCCUGAAAUAUCAGCGUAGGUAAGGUAGCAGGCAAGGCACGAAUGCACUCAAAGCCCAGGUGUACUUCCCUCAUCAAAUGCUGGCUCCCGAAGGGUACUGAGGGGAGGGGUCACGCGGGGGGAGGGGGGGUGUCCCUGGAUGGUUUUUUCCUCUUUAGGGACCUGCUUGCCGGAUGAUUCCGUCUCCCACUUGCUUCUCUUCGGCUCCUUCUUUCCCAUCUGCCAGGGGAGCUUAAAGACAUCUCUGCCGCCCAGUUACAAAAAGUGGCAACUUCCCCUCCGGCCCGCAGACUGAUCGCUCAUUUGAAUGCGUUUCCUUUUCAUUAAGAACAAAGGUUGGAGUCCGAGCCUCGCGGCGCGGCGGCCGGAAAGUACAAGAUGUGUGUCGAGAGCAAACACACACACACACACACACACACAGAAUGACCCACGAGAAAGGGAAAGGGGAAAACACCAAUCCUGCGCUGGGCUUUUUCGACUUUUCCUUUAAAAAGAAAAAAGUUUUUCAAGCUGUAGGUUCCAAGAACCGGCAGGAGGGGGGCGAGGCGGGGUGGGGGGGUGUACAGAAAAGGCGCCUGGUCGGUUAUGAGUCACAAGUGGGUUAUAAAAGGGUCGCACGUUCGCAGGCGCGGGCUUCCUGUGCGCGGCUGAGCCGGGGCGCAGCGCGACGGUCCCAUCGGGCGGCCUCCACCCUCGGGACGCGAGCGGAGCGCCGAGCCCAGCGGCGAUCACGCGACGCGGGGAAGGAAGGAAGAUCUCUCCUUUCAAAGAUAACUAGCCAAAUGAACAUAAUAAACAAGUCCAAGCAGUUGGAGGGGCGGCCGCCACCCCACCGUCUCCAAAUAACUGAUUCGCAUUUCCGAGACGGUUCACCUGAAGCCUUGCCUGCCACCUUGGUUCUCCCACCUGAAGGAGAUGGUUCUAACGGUGGCGCAAACCAGGAAGGGGAAAUCUGUGGUUUACGUUCUCUGUGCCUCAUCCCUCUCGGAGAGCUGGAGGCUUGCUGGAGGCUAUAUGCUGUUAAUGCUAAUUGUGAUAGGGGUUUUUACCUCCGUCUGACUCCUACAUGUUAGCAUUAACAGGGUAUGAUGCCUGUUACUAGCAUUCACAUGGAACAAACUGCUGCUGUGGGAGGAUGACAAAGAAGUGUGAGUCACCCUGCUGGAUAAACUCAGACUUUAAGCUUUAUUAUUUUUUGUUAAUCAUAAUCUGGUCACUGGGAUGUUCCACCUGAUAGUAAGUCUUUAAGAAUAAGGUCUUGUAAAAGAUUUAUCAACGGUAUCCUGAAAGCAAACUUUUUUACUUUAAUCCUUAAGCCCACAUUUUUUUUAAAAAAAUCUUUAAUGGAAAAUGUAUUCCUGUCCUUUUUAAUUCACAGUUAUGGUUUGUUCAUUAUAACUGUUUAUAAACACUUUGAAUAAUUUAACUAGAAAGAAAUAUAAACACAUUCUGAGUAUCUUUGCAGUUAAAAAUUAGGACUACUAUCCACUAAUUAAUCAUGGAUUGUUGGGAAAUAUGUUUAAAAAGAUUUAGAAAUAGGUAUUCCCCCCAUGUAACAAUUCUAUUUAGACAACUUCAGUUUCAAAUGGAUACUUUUAUAUGAAUCUUAAAGUAGACUUGAAAGGCUAUGGCAAUUAGUUUUUAAAAAAUGAAAGAUUUCAUUCUUUUUUAUGGCUGAGUAGUAUUCCAUUGCAUAUAUAUACCACAUAUCCUUAAUCCACCCAUUCGUCUGUCGCUGGACAUUUAGGCUGUUUCCAUUUGCAGCAACAUGGAUGCAAAUAGAGAUUCUCAUACUAAAUGAAGUUAAGUCAGAAAGAUAAAGACAAAUUCCAUAUGAUAUCAGUUAUAUGUGGACUCAAAAAUAUGGCACAAAUGAACCUAUCUACAAAACAGAAACAGACCCACAGACAUAGAGAAUAGACUUGUGGUUGCCAAGGGGGAGGGAAGAGGGAGUGGGAUGGAUGGGCAGUUUGGGGUUAGUAGAUACAGACUAUUACAUUUAGAUUAGAUGGGCAAUGAGGUCCUACUAUUCAGCACGGGGAACUAUAUCUAGUCUCUUGGGAUAGACCAUGAUGGAAGAUAAUAUAAGACAAGGAAUGAAUAUAUACAUAUGACUGGGUCACCCUGCUGCAAUAGCAGAACUUGCCACAACGUUGUACAUCAACUAUACGUUAAUAAAAAAAUCAAAAAGAUUUUUUAAACUUAGUAC